rnacentral:rRNA from 1 species
UACGUAGGUGGCAAGCGUUGUCCGGAAUUAUUGGGCGUAAAGCGCGCGCAGGUGGUUCCUUAAGUCUGAUGUGAAAGCCCACGGCUCAACCGUGGAGGGUCAUUGGAAACUGGGGAACUUGAGUGCAGAAGAGGAAAGUGGAAUUCCAAGUGUAGCGGUGAAAUGCGUAGAGAUUUGGAGGAACACCAGUGGCGAAAGCGACUUUCUGGUCUGUAACUGACACUGAGGCGCGAAAGCGUGGGGAGCAAACAGG